rnacentral:rRNA from 1 species
UAUACAUGCAAGUCGAACGGCAGCNCGGGANCAAUCCUGGUGGCGAGUGGCGAACGGGUGAGUAAUACAUCGGAACGUGCCCUGUUGUGGGGGAUAACUAGUCGAAAGAUUAGCUAAUACCGCAUACGACCUGAGGGUGAAAGCGGGGGACCGNAAGGCCUCGCGCAAUAGGAGCGGCCGAUGUCUGAUUAGCUAGUUGGUGGGGUAAAAGCUCACCAAGGCGACGAUCAGUAGCUGGUCUGAGAGGACGAUCAGCCACACUGGGACUGAGACACGGCCCAGACUCCUACGGGAGGCAGCAGUGGGGAAUUUUGGCCAAUGGGGGCAACCCUGAUCCAGCAAUGCCGCGUGUGUGAAGAAGGCUUCGGGUUGUAAAGCACUUUUGUCCGGAAAGAAAUG